ensembl:lncRNA
CUUUAUGCAUUGCAUAUGCUUUGAUCUGCAAAAUUGGCGACAUCAGCUCUUAAUAAUUUUGUUCUUCUCAGAUCUGCUUUAUUUCCCCCCCACCAUUAGAAAAUGCUCUGUAGGACACAUUUCUGAGAAUAUAUGUUCGUGUUUUUCUUCCUCUGAUUCUGAUUUCUGUGUUUUUGUUUCUCUGGACUCUUUUAUUUAUCUUUAUAUAUAUGUCGUGUAAUAAUAAGAUAUGUAAACAAAUCUGUGUGUGUAUAUGUACGUGUAUAUGUGUAUAUAUAUAUGUAUAUAUCUGUUGGUUGCUCCAAAAGUAAUGCUUCCUAUCUAUUUCCAUGGAAACUACAACAGAUACAAGGAGCACAAAACACUAUUUGAUAGAGCAAAUUCUCAGUUACAAAACACUAUUUUUCAACAUAGUCACCAUCUUUAGCCAGUUCAUGUGGAUGAGCAGAUCAAGUUUCUCUUCAUAUCAUGCAUGGCGUUUCAGCUGACCAUGGCUGUCUGGAACAUGGAUUUCCUAUCAUUUCACCGUCACCACAGCUGAAAUGAGCCACCCACUGUCUCACUGUGCUCACAUCCAAUGUUUGGUCUCCAUAAAUGUACAACAAGCAUCUAUGAAUGACAGUGGGUGCGUUUUUAUUUUGUAUAGAGGAAUUCAAUGACACAGCUUCAUACACACUUCCAUGUCAUAUGCCAUUUUGUCAGACUGCUCCUCUGCUGCCAUCUGUCACACAGCACCAACAUGUAAUGGAAUACUGGUAGGAAGGUUCAGUCCUACUGCCAUACCACCACCAUCUGCACUCUGAUGGCAUGGGCCAACGUAACAAAAUAGUAGGCAUUACUUUUGGAGCAGAUCUCACAUAUAUAUCUAUGUGUAUAAUAUAUACACACAUAUAUAUAAUUGUGUGCAAGCAUAUGGGUAUAUAUAUGCACACACAAUUUUAAUCCUGGACAGCUAGUUAAACUACUAUGCAAGCUUUGAUUCUCUUAAGCCUUUUAGACAUCAUUGACUUAAUCAGGAAUUUUGCCUUUAUGAAUGCCAGUGGCCCAGACCAAGUCUAACACUAAAGUAUAAAUAAAUGCACUUCAACUGUGAUAGUGUAUUUUCCAUUCUGUUUACCUGUGGUAUGGUAUAAAGUGAAUUCCUUAUGCAGUAAUAGUGGAGUCAUCUUUCUAAAUUGUAAAAAAUAUUUCCUAGAACUAUGGUCCGGUAGUCUGGGGCCUUCUUACAUGUCACUUUAUCUGUGUAAUCUGACCACAUACCUCAGUUAAUGUCUGUCCCAUUUCUGUGACCCACUUACUUUGCUUAUGUUUGUGAAAUAAUGACUUUAGGUAACGAUCAGCAGCAGUUGCAUAUAAAUGACUUAAAAAAAAAAAUAAUAAAAGCCUUUAAAAGU